rnacentral:pre_miRNA from 1 species
ACACCUCCACCGGCUUUCAGAACGGUUUAAACUACAUCGCUCUGAACCUGCGGGAGGACUCC